rnacentral:lncRNA from 1 species
UUUUUAUUAGUCUAAUAACCAUUAGGUAGCUCAUUGUCCUAACCAAACACACAGAAAGCUGAAAGAAAACACCACCAACUUUGGGAAACUAUUGGAAACUGUGCUCAGAGGGAGUCCCAGCCCCCUCCCAAACUGCGCCCAAGAGCAGAGCAAGAUGCAAAGCCAGGGGAAGUAAGGAGGGAAGCAGGCUGGGAGGGAGGGGCUCCAGCCCCAGGGUUGGGGUGGAGGAGACGAGGCCCCCUUUGCCCAUAAGACUCUAGGCUCCUUCCAAGGAGGGCAAGAAGCCUUUUUUUUUUUUUUUUUUUUUUUUUAAACCCAGGGCCCAGGAAAGUUAUGCAAAGCAAUUACUCAACUUAGGCAGCCCAGGGAGGGACCACCAUCUUCCAACUGCUCCACCUCCCACUACGUUUGUCUUUGCCUCCUUUCCCUUCCCAUCAGGGUUCAUGACCAAGGAGACGCAAUUCUGUGAGCCUAAGUCUCUGCUGGUCUGGUCCUCUUGGCUCUCUUGAGAGACCCAAGUACAGGUGACUUCCCUGACUCUGGCUGGGCUCCGUAAGCUGUCUUGAGGCUACGCAGCGUCUAAGGCGUUAUCCUUAACCUCCAGCUCCCUCCGGCUUUGCUUUUCUCUCUCUUCUUGACUCUUCUGAAGUUUUUCCUUGUUCCUGUCUCUCUUCCUCCUGUCUGCUGCAGCCUCACACACCAGACAGUUCUCAAGAUGUCCUUCGGGGGAGCCUCCAGGAAGACGAAGAAGAGGCACUAGGUGCAUGCCUACACAGAGGAAAGCCAUGUGAGGACACAGCGAUAAGAUUGCUGACUGCAAGCUCAGGAGAACUUAGAAGAAACCAACCCUACCAGCACCUUGAUCUUGGACUUCCAGCCUCCAGAACUGUGAGAAACAGCUAGUUCCAGAAUCCCGGUCCAACAAGGAGAUUGCCUCUGUCCAAGAAAAUAUCUUGAUAAGCUGCUCAGGGCAGAAGGUGAGAGACCCUGAAGGCAUGGGUGUCCAGUGAAAUGAAUUGUUUAUUUUUUCCUCACAAUGCAGGAAAGAGACAAAGGAGAUAGAAGAAGUGGAAUAAGGGGAAAGAUAAGAACUGGAAAGCUGAACCAUAGCCCAGACCCAAGCAGGAGAAAGAGCAAGAAAUGCCUAUGAGAAAGCCGGAAAGAAACCCCUGGAAUUUGGAAGAAAAUGUCUAAAAGGGAAUGGCAAGGAACCUGAGGAACCAGCGUGAGGAAAACCUGGAUGAUCUGACGUCUUCCUCACUUUAUCCCUACCUGUCCACGCCUCCAUCCAUCCACCCAUCCAUCACUGAUCAAGCUCUCACUAUGUCUAUAGUGUAGAAGGUGCCACCAAAUGCAAUGGAACCUCUUGUCUCAUGUGUCUACUUGCAUCUUUAAGUUGAUACACGGAAGGCACAGUCCAAGCACAGGAUACUGGAAGCUAUGGAGGUACAGUGGCCUCUGAGCAAACUGAAAACUCUCUAUCACUAAAGGGUUGGGCAUACAGGGUAUCUCCUCUGCUCUGCCACCUACCUUGAGGAUGCUUUACAUGUGGCUAAAAGUGGAGGCAGAGAUAUUUGGAUAAAUAAAUGCUAGAGAAUUGGAAAUUCCUAGGACAAGUCAA